rnacentral:lncRNA from 1 species
ACGACGUUCUCACACUAAAUGGAAAAAGGUAAAUUCUUGAUCACUAACUAUAUAAAGAAAAUUUCUGUUGUUCUCAUGUAUCGAAUUAGACAUGUUUAAAUUAGUAUAUUCCGCAAAUGUAUUUACAGAUUUAACAAAUUUCGUUCACCUGUUCCACUUUGAAGAUAGUAAGGAAUUAUUAUAACCGUUUCAUGCCACUCACAAACUCAAGCAAAAAGAAACACUUAUAUGAGAUAUGCUCAUUUUUAUUUCAAGGCUUGUUUUGAUUCCAUUUUUAUCUAAAGUCCUAGUUUGGAUUAAUAGUUUUUUACACCCACAAAACUAAGAUCAAAACUAAUUCAAAGCACCUUAAGCUCAGUUUUAGAAACUUCUGGUUAUGAAUUAACUAUUGAAGUGCACCUUA